AGACCAUGGUGAGGGCAUUGUAGUAGAAAUCCCUUUAGUCUUUCCUAGGCUGUAACCAAUGACUCCGCUUCUGCUUGUUGAAAUUUAGUGAUUUGACUUCUCCUUCU